rnacentral:lncRNA from 1 species
CCAGGAGAGAACAUGUAUAGUUGCAUAUCUAUUAUAUCUGAACAAUGACAGAUUUGACCAUUACAUGUAGGAGUAUAUAGCUGUCAGGUGAAUCGAACCCAAUCCUUAAGUGAAUUCACAUAGACUCGAAUUGUAUACAGUCGUCGGCUGGCAUGGCCUCCCAUGCUUCUGGAUGGAUCCUCUGCCCCACACUCGAGCUUCAGGUUGCAUCCUCUUCUCGUCAUAAGCCGAGUAGCUAUAUUGCUCACGUACCAUGGUCCUAGGCUAGCAAGCAUGUUAGCUACGGCAAUGUUGGAGGAAAGUUCCCCUUUACAAUCAUGAGGUCUGUUGUUUUUACACUAUAAGAUGCAAUGGAAUAUAUGCACAACACAAACUGCUCCAUUGAUUGAUUGGAAAUGGCCCACGUUGUAGGAUAAAUCUGUCUUAAUUUUGAGGGCUCCCCUAUCUUUUGUUUAAAUGCAGUCUGAAACUUUGAAUGUAAUACACAUGCAUCAAGCCUUGCCAAGGAACCCAUGUGGAAAGUGAGGCAGUAACGAAGCAGUAGCUAGCGUGGGGUGCGUCAUGUCUUUGGUAUUGUAGGCAAUCACCACCAUGGACAAGCUCGCUGGAAUCAAGUCAGGUAACGACACCGAGCUUACACACUCCUAUUGUUUCUUCCAAAUUCAGAAAAGGGAGGUUGUAUCAUUUCUAAUCAGGCAGUGAGAUAAUGACAAAUGUGGCAUGGAUAAGUAUAGAUUCACCUGAUCUGCCAUUUAGUAGUGAUCUUCUAAGGCACCCCUAGCAUGUCUCUUUUUGGUUCUUAUAUAUUUAUGACACAUUUUUGUUCCUAUGAAUAGUUCAUAUCCUAAAUACGGAUAUCUUAAUUGUGUUUGGCUGUAGGAGCGUUGACACUAUAUAUUUAGAUCGCCAUUAAAAUUGCAGCUUCAUGAGAUUGUAACCCUGAAGGUAGUGUGCUCCCCAUUUUAUUGUACAUGCUCCAUAAUACCAAUUGUAUCCGACAAGAUAAUGUCGUUUUUAGCACGAACAUAAAUUGAUGGGAGGGGGUGAUGUUCAUUGUCCUCAAUGCUGCUUCUUUUUUCUAAAACAUCAAUGGUGCUACUUGGUCAGGUUAACAAAAGUUGCCAAAGGAAUUUGUAACCUUGGUAGUACAUAUUUAACAUAAUUGGUGUGGAACACAUCUAGAAUCUUUUGGCUUCAUUGCAACACACGGACAAUUACCUAGACAAGGGGGAUAGUGGACAAAGGGUCACGAAACCCAGGAGAGGGCUUAAUUACUAAUGGACAAAGAUUUUAUUUUUAAUUAUAUAAUCGUAUGUGCUUAUUUCAAGUUAUUCCUCUGUUUUUUGCAUUUUUCUUCCAGUUUUCUACCCGUGGGCCGGGGAGCUCUCUGUUUUGUUUCCACUAGCCGGGAUGCCAAUCACUAUAGCAAUCAACAAAAAAUUGUCUCAAAUACAUACUUAACUUUUAGCUAGGUAAAGCACAACGAUGGCCUAAAGAUUAGGUCAACAACAAUGGUGGAUGUUCUGCAUGCACUACAAAUGCAGGACUGUUGCGGCCAGUAGACACCACACACUGAAGUUAGAAAUGAGAUUGACGUCACCAUGGUCUACUCCAUGUGAUACUGGUCUUGCUGGAAAAGAACGGACCAAUUAAAAUUCUGCAGGGAUCAGUGUAAACAAUAUGGUCAUUUAGAGUUCUAAUUUUAUUUCUUUUCGUCAGUUGACGAAAUUUAUCCAGCCACUGAGUCCAAACAAUAAUCUCUUUAAUGGGUGUGAAAGCAAGUGAACAAAUGCAAAAACAACCAAAAGACUGAAAUACACUAUCACUGAACAUAAUUAGUACUCCCUCCGUAACUUAAUAUAAGAUGUCUUUUUAUCAGAUAGAAGAUGUGUUUUGACACUAUGAGAAUGUAAAAAAAUGAUUAAUGCAGUAUUAAGUUACAGAGGGAGCAAGUAUGUAGUAUGAUUUGAUUUUACACUCGGGACAUACAAACUUGAUUAAAUGUCUUGUAUAUCAAAUUGAUCAACUUAUUUCGAGUAGGUCAUUGCACUUUUUGUUGUUGCCGGGAGCAUAAUUUCAAAGGCAACAUGGAAUCAUGUAGCGUAUGAUGCACUUUUGAACAUAUUCUGCAUUAAAAAGUUUGAAUUAGAAAUCCAACAUCAAACUAUAUAUAUGUUAUGUGUUACAUAUCUUCCUACUACUUUAAAGGGAAGAACUCAUCACCCCUCUUGUCAAUUCUUGGUGGUUGUGAGAACAUGCACGAGGGCCUGUAAGACAAGGGUAAGUGAAAAAAAAUGUCAAAGUUAUGGUAACGUGGUAGAAACUCACACAGAUCAAACAUUUGUCACAUGUUUUUGUGAAAUAGAAUGGCAUAGUAAACGUCUCCAUGCAUAUGUUUGUCACUCCUUAGCAUUGAUACACAAGACUUUUCAUGACAUUUUUGCAGCUGGAAAUGGAGGUAGCGUAGGAGAAACGGUAUGAUGCAC